rnacentral:rRNA from 1 species
GACGAACGCUGGCGGCGUGCUUAACACAUGCAAGUCGAACGGAAAGGCCCUGCUUUUGUGGUGUUCUCGAGUGGCGAACGGGUGAGUAACACGUGUGUAACCUGCCCUUGUCUUUGGGAUAACUUCAGGAAACUGGGGCUAAUACCGUAUAGGAUCUCCCGCUGCAUUGUGGGCGUGGGAAAGUCUCGGCGGUGGGGGAUGGACUCGCGGCUUAUGAGCUUGUUGGUGGGGUAGUGGCUGACCAAGGCUUUCACGGGUAGCCGGCCUGAGAGGGUGAGCGGCCACAUUGGGACUGAGAGAAGGCCGAGGCUGCGACGGGAGGAAGCAGUGGGGAAUAUUGCACAAUGGGCGGAAGCCUGAUGCAGCAACGCCGCGUGCGGGAUAACGGCCUUCGGGUUGUAAACCGCUUGCGCCUGUAACGAAGCGUGAGUGACGGUAAUGGGUAAAGAAGCACCGGCUAACUACGUG